AACGAACGCUGGCGGCAUGCCUAACACAUGCAAGUCGAACGAGACCUUCGGGUCUAGUGGCGCACGGGUGCGUAACGCGUGGGAACCUGCCCUUAGGUUCGGAAUAACUCCCUGAAAGGGGUGCUAAUACCGGAUAAUGUCUUCGGACCAAAGAUGUAUCGCCUUUGGGUGGGCCCGCGUUGGAUUAGCGAGUUGGUAGUGUAAAAGCCUACCAAGGCGACGAUCCAUAGCUGGUCUGAGAGGAUGACCAGCCACACUGGGACUGAGACACGGCCCAGACUCCUACGGAAGGCAGCAGUGUGGAAUAUUGGACAAUGGGCGAAAGCCUGAUCCAGCAAUGCCGCGUAAGUGAUGAAGGCGUUAGGGUUGUAAAGCUCUUUUACCCGGGAUGAUAAUGACGGUACCGGGAGAAUAAGCACCGGCUAACUCCGUG
rnacentral:rRNA from 1 species